GCCUUACCCUAGGUUGACUUGCAAUGAAUGUGUAUCAAAGAACUAAGGGAUAAUGUUCUUAAAUUCCUCUCUAAAUCAUGAUGGCUGAUUUUUUGGAUAGAUGGCUCAGAUAUGUUUCUCUCUCACCUCACAGAUUACCUAGAGUCUUAUAGCCCAAGAUGAAAUCUAAAUCAAAUAGGCAUACCUAUACUCACCUGGAGGCUCUAUAUUGAAGGUAGCCCCCCUCAUUCUCAGAAUCUGAAAUUCCUAGCCUCUCUCUCUCUCUCUCUCUCCUCUCUUUUAUGUGUUUUCUCUCUCUCUCCUCUCUCAUGUCCUAAAAGGCGUAGCACACACCACCCUGGAAAGCUUGGGGUGCCACGCUGCCCACAAGGUUCACAGAGGGGCAUGCCCAGCUAACUUUGAGAAAAGGGAGGUGUCAAUAAGGUGGUAUGCUCUAAGAGUCUCAAAGAGUUUUCAAAACCUCUAGACGUAGCAUAUGCUCUCCUAAAAUCUUAACAUUUACUAAAGGUAUUGCCUAAAGAAGCUUCCCAACUUGGAGAACUCAGCAAGGCCAAUAGGAUCAUCAUGUGCCAUCGGUCAGGUAAUCCGGUGUGGGGUGUACCUAGUCGUAAGGGGUUGACCCUAGGCAAAGUCAAAUAAGUAUUCCCAACUAUUCUAAGUUUAUUCUAGGUAAUCGAGUAUGGGUUGUCCUAUGUUCUAAGGAGGUGACCCUAGGUAAAGUUAAGUUAGUCUUCCCAGCUAUUCUAAACUUAUUUUCAAUCAUUCUUGUUCAAUUUAUUGCAAUUUUCAGGAACAUUAUUUUAUUAAAAUUCCUUGUUAAAGCUUAUUAGUGAAGUGAGGGACCCAAUUCCCAUAUGCAUUUAGUUGAAUGUUGAAACACACAGAUGAGGCAUAAGAUGGAAGACAAAUUCAAAAGCCAUAAAGAGAAAUAUAGCAAUAACUGUAUAGUGAAAAGGAUACAUCUAUAUAAAUCAUUUUCUUGAACUAGUGGAAAUUGAAAGGAUGCCUAUCAUGCAUGAGAUGAUUAAAAAAAGGAGGAUUUCAAAGUAGACCAUGAGAAAUGCUCAAGUACCACUUUCUCAUGUUAUUCGUAAUACAAAAUGUACUAUUUGGACAUCAUGCCUCGCUUAUGUCUCUCUCGUGUUCAUACUUUUAUUUUUAAAGGGAGUGGUUUCUAUAGGUUUAGGGGCUAUAUGUAUAUAUAUAUAUCUAUAGGCGAUUUUCAACAGUGUUUUGCCCCCCCACAGACAUGCUAUGUCGAUGGCAGUUUAUUGAAUGGAGCUGCAAUGGACGAUGCGUGGUCUGUGGCGGUUCCGCGCGUUUUUUGACCACCAUGGACACGUUAUGCUCGUAACGGGGGUACUGCCACAAACAUGCUAGCUCCGUAGCGGUCUUAAAUCCUCUGAAAAAAUCAGGAGGCGCCAAGCCUAGGGGCAAAAAUACUGUUAAUUUUCACUCAUAGGUGUGUGUGUGUAUAUAUAUAUAUAUAUAUAGGGAAAUGAUAUCAUGUCGCCAUGCCAUUAUAAUAUAAUGAAACCAUAAUUUUAGAAAACCAUGUUUGUGGUACUUGUAUGACCCAAAAUUUUGCACACACACUCUAUUCAUCUCAAUAAUCAAUCUAAAAAAAAUAAAGUUAAUUUAUAAUCUAUAUAUAGUCAAAAUGAUUCAUCUCCAACAAUGAAUCUAGAUCGUCCAUUUGGUGAAUUUCAAGAUCUAGGCCUUUAUGAAUUCAAAAUCAAAUUUUUCUUUUUUUAACGUUGUUAAUGUAAUGAUAAUAAAG
rnacentral:lncRNA from 1 species